AUAAGAUGAUUUGAAUUGAUAUGCUUUUGCUUUAUGAGGUAUAUCAGUUAAUGGCAUGUUAGAGUUCUGAUGGCA